GAUGAAGAACGUAGCGAAAUGCGAUACUUGGUGUGAAUUGCAGAAUCCCAUGAACCAUCGAGUCUUUGAACGCAAGUUGCGCCCGAAGCCAUCAGGUUGAGGGCACGUCUGCCUGGGCGUCACAUAUCGUUGCCCAAUGCCUAUUGCAGUGCAAUAGGAAUUUCUAGGGCGAAUGAUGGCUUCCCGUGAGCGUUGUUGCCUCGCGGUUGGUUGAAAAUCGAGUCCUUGGUAGGGUGUGCCAUGGUAGAUGGUGGUCGAGUUAGAACGAUACCGAUCAUGUGCAUGCUCCCCAAAAUAUGGCCUCUAUGACCCACACGCGUCUUUUGACGCUCAUGACGAGACCUCAGGUCAGGCGGGGCUACCCGCUGAAUUUAAGCCUAUCAAUAAGCGGAGGA
rnacentral:misc_RNA from 1 species